CCUGGCAAUUGCAACUAAUGACUGCCCCACCCCACACCUCUUCCCAACCGAACCGAUGCAACACUCCAACGAAAUCAUGAUAUAAACCAACAACGGUCUCCCAAACCAACUUUACCGCUUUCCUCCGUUUGCCCAUACUCCCCAACCGCUUGCCUCCACUGCCGACUGACGUCCAAGCCUUCAACGCCUCCCUCCGUCUGCCCAUAUUCCUCAACCGCUUGACUCCACUGCCGACGACCAAGCCUCCAACUCCAACAACAUACCGGACUGAACUCAAGACCAUUCCAACAGAAGUCCAACACAGAAAAUGGACGAGACACAAGGUUUGGAUUGCCUUCAUCAAGAUGAAAUCUGCCGGUGCCGCUGUCGUUAAAGGAAGAGAUAUGCUAGGUUUACACCUACACAAAGAGCAGAAUAUAUUCAGAAGUCAAUGGAAAAUAGGAAGAGGAAACGCAAUGCACAUUAUACUCCUCCAAGCACAAAUCAUUGUUGUGAAUUCUCAGAUGGGAAAACACAAAAUCCAUCGCCGAAUUCCCCUAUGGAGGACAACCUAAUGGAGUCAGAAACAAAUGGACAAUAACUACAGGAAGUCCAUCUUUCCCAACCACAUGAAUUGUGGACCAUGGCAAAUUGCCGAUUUUGUUAGGGUAAAAGGUUCCAAUACGAGCCUCCAACUUUUUGCUGCUAC